rnacentral:rRNA from 1 species
UGGGGAAUAUUGCACAAUGGGCGCAAGCCUGAUGCAGCCAUGCCGCGUGUGUGAAGAAGGCCUUCGGGUUGUAAAGCACUUUCAGCGAGGAGGAAGGGUAGUGUGUUAAUAGCACAUUGCAUUGACGUUACUCGCAGAAGAAGCACCGGCUAACUCCGUGCCAGCAGCCGCGGUAAUACGGAGGGUGCAAGCGUUAAUCGGAAUUACUGGGCGUAAAGCGCACGCAGGCGGUUAGUUAAGUCAGAUGUGAAAUCCCCGCGCUUAACGUGGGAACUGCAUUUGAAACUGGCAAGCUAGAGUCUUGUAGAGGGGGGUAGAAUUCCAGGUGUAGCGGUGAAAUGCGUAGAGAUCUGGAGGAAUACCGGUGGCGAAGGCGGCCCCCUGGACAAAGACUGACGCUCAGGUGCGAAAGCGUGGGGAGCAAACA